CCGGGCCGUGCCGUCGGAGGUCCGCGGGAGGAGGAAGUAGGGGUGUGUGCGUGGGCGAGGGGGGCCCCUAGGGGCCGGGUGCAGACACGAACCCAGAACCCACCCGCGCCCCCUUCCCUCCAGCCCCGCGGCCAGGCUCCGGCGCGGAAGGCGGGCUGGGCCGAGGUCCUGGAAUAGCUGCGAUCCCCCGCCAGGUGGGCGGAGCCAGGAAGCGCGGGCUCGGUGGGAAGCCCCGUGGGAGGCGGGAGGCCCGCUAGGGACCGACCGGGUCCUGGACCGGACCGCGCCGAGCUGCCUGCAGGAGCCCUGAGGGCCAGGAAGCCCCCGGUCUCCCUUCUCUCCCUGCUCCCCCGGGGGCCCGAUCAGCCCGAUGAGACCUGGGUGGCCCUGGAGAAGAGGACGGGUGUCAGGAGAAGCAGAGGAGACGGGUGCUGGGGACCACGCUCAGAGCCCAGAAGCCAGGGCUGUGAGGAGCCCUCACUAAGGCCCAAAGGCCCGGUGCUAGAGGCCAGAGCAGAGCACGGAGCGCAGGUCCCGCCGUCUGGGGACCAGACGUGCCGGCAGGACCCUGCAGGUGGAGGCAGGAAGGCGCAGAUGAGGGCACAGAGGCCCAUCACGGGGAGGACGCCCAUCACGGGGAGGAGGCCCAUCACGAGAGAGGCCCAUCACGGGAGAGGCCCAUCACGGGAGAGGCCCAUCACGAGAGAGGCCCAUCACGGGAGAGGCCCAUCACGGGAGAGGCCCAUCACGGGAGAAGCCCAUCACGGGAGAGACGGGAGCAGCUGAGCCGGGUGUGAAAGUACCGAGUGGCCCUGAGCAUCGGGUGAAGAGCCACGUACGCCCACCUCCUGCCCCAGCAACUGAAGUGCCCUUCUGUCCAGGGUCGCCCACCUCACCCUGGAGGAGAGGCAGGCCCGGGAAGCCCCACGGGGCCCUGCACCCCAUCACGGCCAGUGGGGCCAAUGGGGCCCUUCUCACCCUGUGGAAGUGGAGAGAGGAGUCAGGGCCUGGACGGCCCCUUGCGCAGCGCUGCACAGACCCCCCAGCCACACUCACCGGGACACCUUUCUCUCCUGCUGCUCCCGGGGGACCCUGAGGUCCUGGGCGCCCAGGGGGGCCAAUGGGUCCCCCGGAUCCCGCUGCACCGCGUUCCCCAGGGGAGCCCUAAGAGAGGAAAUGCAGUCAGACCCCAAGGAGGAGACCACAGCCUACACACCACAGGACAGGCCCCCCACCCCACCGCCACGGUUCCCAGGAGAAGCGCCCCGAAUCGGAUGCAUUAUGUCUGGCCCUGCCAUCCAUGCUGUGCCCGCCCCGGCCCCCGCCCCGGCCACCGCCCUGGCC